UACGGAGGAUGCAAGCGUUAUCCGGAUUCAUUGGGUUUAAAGGGUGCGUAGGCGGGCUAUUAAGUCAGUGGUGAAAUCCUGCAGCUUAACUGCAGAACUGCCGUUGAUACUGAUAGUCUUGAGCUUGGUUAAGGUAGGCGGAAUGUGUAAUGUAGCGGUGAAAUGCUUAGAUAUUACACAGAACACCAAUUGCGUAGGCAGCUUACCGAGCCGACACUGACGCUGAGGCACGAAAGCGUGGGGAUCAAACAGGA
rnacentral:rRNA from 1 species